CACGUAGGGGGCAAGCGUUGUCCGGAUUUAUUGGGCGUAAAGAGCUCGUAGGCGGUUCGGCAAGUCGGGUGUGAAACCCCCCAGGCUCAACCUGGGGACGCCACCCGAUACUGCUGUGACUUGAGUCCGGUAGGGGAGCGUGGAAUUCCUGGUGUAGCGGUGAAAUGACGCAGAUAUCAGGAGGAACACCAGCGGCGAAGGCGGCGCUCUGGGCCGGAACUGACGCUGAGGAGCGAAAGCGUGGGUAGCAAACAGG
rnacentral:rRNA from 1 species